GACGAACGCUGGCGGCGUGCCUAAUACAUGCAAGUCGAGCGAAGUUUUUCUGGUGCUUGCACUAGAAAAACUUAGCGGCGAACGGGUGAGUAACACGUAAAGAACCUGCCUCAUAGACUGGGACAACUAUUGGAAACGAUAGCUAAUACCGGAUAACAGUAUUUCUCGCAUGAGAGAUAUUUAAAAGUUGGUUAUGCUAACACUAUGAGAUGGCUUUGCGGUGCAUUAGCUAGUUGGUGGGGUAAAGGCCCACCAAGGCGACGAUGCAUAGCCGACCUGAGAGGGUGAUCGGCCACACUGGGACUGAGACACGGCCCAGACUCCUACGGGAGGCAGCAGUAGGGAACCUUCCGCAAUGGGCGAAAGCCUGACGGAGCAACGCCGCGUGAGUGAAGAAGGAUUUCGGUUCGUAAAGCUCUGUUGUUAGGGAAGAAUGGAUAUGUAGUAACUAUACAUGUAAGAGACGGUACCUAACCAGAAAGCCACGGCUAACUACGUG
rnacentral:rRNA from 1 species